rnacentral:rRNA from 1 species
UACGUAGGGUGCGAGCGUUGUCCGGAAUUAUUGGGCGUAAAGGGCUCGUAGGCGGUUUGUCGCGUCGGGAGUGAAAUCAUCUGGCUUAACUGGGUGCUUGCUUUCGAUACGGGCAGACUAGAGGUAUGCAGGGGAGAACGGAAUUCCUGGUGUAGCGGUGAAAUGCGCAGAUAUCAGGAGGAACACCGGUGGCGAAGGCGGUUCUCUGGGCAUGACCUGACGCUGAGGAGCGAAAGCGUGGGGAGCGAACAGG